GUACACGCUGUGACUAGCAUAUCAAUAAGCGGAGGAAAAGGAAACUAACAAGGAUUCCCCUAGUAACGGCGAGUGAAGCGGGAAGAGCUCAAACUUGAAAUCUUAAAGGGUUUCCCUUUACGAAUUGUAGUUUAAAGAAGUGUUUUCUGUUGAGGUUUUGGUAAAAGUUCUUUGGAAUAGGACAUCAUAGAGGGUGAGAAUCCCGUAUUUGACCUUUACUUUCAACUUUGUGAUACACUUUCAAAGAGUCGGAUUGUUUGGGAAUGCAGUCCAAAAUGGGUGGUAAAUUUCAUCUAAAGCUAAAUAUUGGCGAGAGACCGAUAGCGAACAAGUACCGUGAGGGAAAGAUGAAAAGAACUUUGAAAAGAGAGUUAAACAGUACGUGAAAUUGUCAAAAGGGAAGCGUUUGACACCAGUGUUGUUUUUCUGAAAAUCAAUUAAAGAACUGUUUAUGCUAAGCUGUUUAGACUUUAUCAGCUAAUCUGUUUAGUUUUGAGCUUUUCUUUAAUGCACUUUUCAGUUAACAAGUCAACAUCAAUUUCUUUUGCUGUAAAAAAGGCUUGAGGAAGGUGGCUUGAGAUUCGUCUUAAGUGUUUAUAGCCUCUUGCCUAUGCAGUCGGAGAGAUUGAGGUCUGCAGCGUAGAUCCUUCGGGGCUAAAUGCAUUUGUGCUAAGUUAUAACAUUUUAUAGACAACCUUGUUGACUAUGAUUUGUCUUGUAGCUUACUCGCUUAUGUUAUUUUACCUACGCUUAGGAUGUUGAAGUCAUCGUAUCGCGC
rnacentral:rRNA from 1 species